GCAUAUCAAUAAGCGGAGGAAAAGAAACCAACAGGGAUUGCCCAGUACGGCGAGUGAAGCGGCAAGAGCUCAAAUUUGAAAGCUGGCUCCUUCGGGGUCCGCAUUGUAAUUUGUAGAGGAUGCUUCGGGAGCGGUCCCCAUCUAAGUGCCCUGGAACGGGACGUCAUAGAGGGUGAGAAUCCCGUAUGGGAUGGGGUGUCCGCGCCCGUGUGAAGCUCCUUCGACGAGUCGAGUUGUUUGGGAAUGCAGCUCUAAAUGGGUGGUAAAUUUCAUCUAAAGCUAAAUAUUGGCCGGAGACCGAUAGCGCACAAGUAGAGUGAUCGAAAGAUGAAAAGCACUUUGAAAAGAGAGUUAAAAAGCACGUGAAAUUGUUGAAAGGGAAGCGCUUGCGACCAGACUCGCUCGCGGGGUUCAGCCGGCAUUCGUGCCGGUGUACUUCCCCGCGGGCGGGCCAGCGUCGGUUUGGGCGGUCGGUCAAAGGCCCUCGGAAGGUAACGCCCCUAGGGGCGUCUUAUAGCCGAGGGUGCAAUGCGACCUGCCUAGACCGAGGAACGCGCUUCGGCUCGGACGCUGGCAUAAUGGUCGUAAACGACCCGUCUUGAAACACGGACC
rnacentral:rRNA from 1 species